UGAUUCUACAACAGAAGAGCCCAAACGACAUCAAGAGGGGUUUAUUUUGGGGGGGUGACACAGCACUAACCCUGUCACGGGAGUGGCCGCCGAGGCAGUGGACGCACGUCACCAGGAAGUGCCACGCACAGAGGUUCUUUGGGGUACCUGACCAGCCCAACCCUGUCCCCGCUUCGGGGACACUUCACCUCAGGUGUCGAUAAGCAGCGUUUGAUGGGAAACAUGGGUGUCACACCCCAGGUGUCUAAUACUCGGUGCCCAUGGCCCCCACCAGCCUCUGGAAUGAGCAGCUGCAGUUGGACUGGGUGACCCUUGAAGGUCCCUUCUAACCCAAACUAUUCUGUGAUCUCUCCAGCUCCCAGUAAGCAUCCAGUUAACACUUCCACGUCUCCGCAGGCAGCUGCCAGCUCUGAUCAUCGUCCUAGAGAAGAAAUCAACGUCUCUAACCACGGGUGAGGGUCCUUUGCGGCCACAGCGGUCCCGGCUGCUCAGUGCAGAGGGGGAGCCAAGCCGUUAUUCCACAUGGUGUGUUACAUCCCCCGCCCUGUGAGUUGGACCCAAAAGAUUCACUCACCUGAAUAAGAAGUUAAGACCGAAGAGUGUGAACAUCACCGCCACGUACCCCACGAUCCCAGUGGCAUAGCUGAUCUUGUAUAUUAGUAGAAACCAUUUAUAAACCAGUCUGGAACGAAUUAAAAUAAUUUAACUAC